GAGGCCCUACGGGACGCAGCAGUGGGGAAUAUUGCACAAUGGGGGGAACCCUGAUGCAGCGACGCCGCGUGAGUGAAGAAGUAUUUCGGUAUGUAAAGCUCUAUCAGCAGGGAAGAAAAUGACGGUACCUGACUAAGAAGCCCCGGCUAACUACGUGCCAGCAGCCGCGGUAAUACGUAGGGGGCAAGCGUUAUCCGGAUUUACUGGGUGUAAAGGGAGCGGAGACGGCAGAGCAAGUCUGAAGUGAAAGCCCGCGGCCCA
rnacentral:rRNA from 1 species